UACGGAGGGUGCAAGCGUUGUCCGGAUUUAUUGGGUUUAAAGGGUGCGUAGGCGGCCCGUUAAGUCAGCGGUGAAAUCCCAGGGCUCAACCCUGGAACUGCCGUUGAUACUGGCGGGCUUGAGUUCGGUCGAGGCGGGCGGAACUGGCGGUGUAGCGGUGAAAUGCUUAGAUACCGCCAAGAACCCCGAUUGCGUAGGCAGCUCGCUUGGCCGAAACUGGCGCUGAGGCACGAAAGCGUGGGGAGCGAACAGG
rnacentral:rRNA from 1 species